rnacentral:rRNA from 1 species
UACGGAGGGAGCUAGCGUUGUUCGGAAUUACUGGGCGUAAAGCGCACGUAGGCGGCUUUGUAAGUUAGAGGUGAAAGCCUGGGGCUCAACCCCAGAAUUGCCUUUAAGACUGCAUCGCUUGAAUCCAGGAGAGGUGAGUGGAAUUCCGAGUGUAGAGGUGAAAUUCGUAGAUAUUCGGAAGAACACCAGUGGCGAAGGCGGCUCACUGGACUGGUAUUGACGCUGAGGUGCGAAAGCGUGGGGAGCAAACAGG